rnacentral:lncRNA from 1 species
GGGUUUUUGGUUUAGGGUACGUAUAUGAUUAAUUUAAGAUUUAAGGUCGAUUUAGGAGUUACUAUUUUAAGGUUUAGGGAGUAUGAAUUUAAGGAUUAUGGAUUAUGGAUUAUGGAUUAUGGUUUAAGGGUUAGAAUUUAAGGUUUAGGGGUUAGGGGUUAAGGGUUUAAGGGUUAGAGGUUAUGGGGUUAAGAGUUAGGGAUUCAAGGGUCGGGUUAGGUUUUUG